rnacentral:sRNA from 1 species
CACGGACAAGGGCCUGGAGCUGAUCGCUGAGCACCUGAGCCAGCUCACCGGCAUAGACCUGUACGGCUGCACCCGAAUCACCAAACGCGGCCUGGAGCGCAUCACGCAGCUGCCCUGCCUCAAGGGAUUGCUCUAAUUUUGCCUGGUGGAGUUGCCCUUACCAACCCAGAAUAUUUGGUCGUAUUUGCCAAGCCCUCCAGUUGAGGUGCAAAAGAAAGUAAGCUUGAGAUCUUAACUGAGCAGCACUAGAGUGGGGUAUGUUAAACCCCCACUCCCAAUAAAACAAUAGAAGUGGAA